UUCUGGUGAUUGUGCUGAAAGACCCCCAGAGUGGGGAGACCCUCACUCAAGUCUCGGGAUAAGCUGAUGCCCCUAUAAUUCAAGAGAGACC
rnacentral:pre_miRNA from 11 species